GCGCGCAGACUCCAGGUUCCGUUUCUGGUUCCCCAAGGGACGCUGCUAAGAAUUGGAACCCCCCCACCCCCCGAAAAGUGCUGCACUGGCCAACGUGGGUCCACCGCACUUGCUUGCCUGUUCACUCUGACAUGUUCGCAGGGCCUUGCUCCAGCCAGGCACCACGGGCUCCGCACAGCUGCUCUCUAAAGGCUGCCUCAGCCUGUGAGACGUCAACUCCUGGGGUGGGGCCAUGCCAUGCAGCGGCUCUCCCUGCCCCACUCCCCCCUUCCUCAUCCUCAUCCUCAGACUCGCAGGGGAUGGGCCCUCCAGUGGCUCUCUGCAGCCCACUCCUCUCUCCCUCCUCUUCAGCACCGGCUGCCCUCCUUCCUGCCUGAGACACCCCAGGGCCUUUGUACGUGCAGCUCUCCCUACCCAGAGGAUUCUUUCCAGGCCACCUUCUUCCUGCCAUACAGGCCUCAGAGAGAACAGCUGCAGGCGCCCCCUCCGCCCCCACCCCCACCAACAGAGGAGUGCCGGGUCACCCCCUGUCACGCCAGGAUUUAUUUUCAGUCGGAGUGCCAACCGAGAGCUAAGCCUACCGUAGCCUGUGUGAGCAGAUGGGGAUUUACUAUGGAGCUGACGCUGAGUGAGGACCUUGCCUGGCUGCGUCACCUCUGGUAGCACGAGUGCUGCUACAUGCCAGGCCGAUGCGGGGGAGGCACACGCAGCAGUCUUACCAGGUUCCACAGGGGCUCCCCCAGUCCCACCUGGCAAAGGAGGCCAGGUCACUGCUGUAAGAUGUCAAGAGUGCAGCAAAAAGGACAGCACAAGGGCCUCGGAGAAGUCUCAUCUUCCUCCACGCAGUGAGAAAGGUGGCAAAAACGUCAGAAAACGUUUUUGAGUGCUCUGGAAAUUAACCACAGGCUUGCAGCAAUCUAUGUGGAGCUAUUUUAUGUUAUGGAGAAAAUAGGCUGAAUCUUAGCGAGAACAGCAUGCAUGCCCACCCACCCCCUCCAGCACUGUAGUAGGCUUAAAAAUUAACAACCCAUAUUUAUAAUAAAAACUAACAGUCUGGCAGCCACUGGAGCUGGAGCUCUUUCAAAGCCUCAUUUCCAGGAAGUCAUGAUUAUUUGACCUAUCUGGUGGUUCCCUGGAAGACACC